CUAAACGACUCUCGGCAACGGAUAUCUCGGCUCUCGCAUCGAUGAAGAACGUAGCGAAAUGCGAUACUUGGUGUGAAUUGCAGAAUCCCGUGAACCAUCGAGUCUUUGAACGCAAGUUGCGCCCGAAGCCUAGGCCAAGGGCACGUCUGCCUGGGCGUCUCACA
rnacentral:rRNA from 1 species